rnacentral:rRNA from 1 species
CGGGUGAGUAAUGUCUGGGAAACUGCCCGAUGGAGGGGGAUAACUACUGGAAACGGUAGCUAAUACCGCAUAACGUCGCAAGACCAAAGAGGGGGACCUUAGGGCCUCUUGCCAUCGGAUGUGCCCAGAUGGGAUUAGCUAGUAGGUGGGGUAAUGGCUCACCUAGGCGACGAUCCCUAGCUGGUCUGAGAGGAUGAUCAGCCACACUGGGACUGAGACACGAUCCAG